rnacentral:tRNA from 1 species
GCGCCGGUGGUGUAAGGCGUAGCAUCGCUGCACGGAAGGCAGAAGGUGCGGGUUCGAAUCCCGCCUAACGCA